rnacentral:lncRNA from 1 species
UAUCGGUUCUGGUCGCGUAACUUCUCCAUCUUAACUCAUUUUCUCCCAAAACUUGACGAGUGCUUAUGUAAUUAAAUUACACACAAAAAUAUCAUCAACAGAGAGUUUAAUUACACUGUCAAAAUCUCAGUCCUUACAUUAUCCCCCCCCUUAAAAGAAGUUUCGUCCUCGAAACUGGACCACGUACCCACUCGAAUUGAAUUCAGAUAUUACUCCGCCAC